ACGAACGCUGGCGGCGUGCUUAACACAUGCAAGUCGAACGGAAAGGCCCUGCUUUUGUGGGGUGCUCGAGUGGCGAACGGGUGAGUAACACGUGAGUAACCUGCCCUUGACUUUGGGAUAACUUCAGGAAACUGGGGCUAAUACCGGAUAGGAGCUCCUGCUGCAUGGUGGGGGUUGGAAAGUUUCGGCGGUUGGGGAUGGACUCGCGGCUUAUCAGCUUGUUGGUGGGGUAGUGGCUUACCAAGGCUUUGACGGGUAGCCGGCCUGAGAGGGUGACCGGGAACAUGGGGACUGGGAUACGGCCCAGACUCCUACGGGAGGCAGCAGUGGGGAAUAUUGCACAAUGGGCGGAAGCCUGAUGCAGCAACGCCGCGUGCGGGAUGACGGCCUUCGGGUUGUAAACCGCUUUCGCCUGUGACGAAGCGUGAGUGACGGUAAUGGGUAAAGAAGCACCGGCUAACUACGU
rnacentral:rRNA from 1 species